rnacentral:rRNA from 1 species
ACGGGGCGCAGCAGGCGCGAAAACUUUGCAAUGUGCGAAAGCACGACAAGGUUAAUCCGAGUGGUUUCUGCUAAAGAAACCUUUUGUCAGUCCUAGAAACACUAACGAAUAAGGGGUGGGCAAGUUCUGGUGUCAGCCGCCGCGGUAAAACCAGCACCUCAAGUGGUCAGGAUGAUUAUUGGGCCUAAAGCAUCCGUAGCUCGUUUUGUAAGUUUUCGGUUAAAUCCAUGCGCUUAACGUAUGGGCUGCCGGGAAUACUGCAUAACUAGGAAGUGGGAGAGGUAGACGGUACUCGGGAGGAAGGGGUAAAAUCCUUUGAUCUCUUGAUGACCACCUGUGGCGAAGGCGGUCUACCAGAACACGUUCGACGGUGAGGGAUGAAAGCUGGGGGAGCAAACCGGAUUAGAUACCCGGGUAGUCCCAGCUGUAAACUAUGCAAACUCAGUGAUGCAUUGGCUUAUGGCCAAUGCAGUGCUGCAGGGAAGCCGUUAAGUUUGCCGCCUGGGAAGUACGUACGCAAGUAUGAAACUUAAAGGAAUUGGCGGGGGAGCACCACAAGAGGUGAAGCCUGCGGUUCAAUUGGAGUCAACGCCAGAAAUCUUACCCGGAGAGACAGCAGAAUGAAGGUCAAGCUGAAGACUUUACCAGACAAGCUGAGAGGUGGUGCAUGGCCGUCGCCAGCUCGUGCCGUGAGAUGUCCUGUUAAGUCAGGUAACGAGCGAGAUCCCUGCCUCUAGUUGCCACCAUUACUCUCA